rnacentral:rRNA from 1 species
GACGAACGCUGGCGGCGUGCCUAAUACAUGCAAGUCGAACGCAGUGGGGACGGGUGAGUAACACGUGGGUAACCUCCCAUCAGAGGGGAUAACACUUGGAAACAGGUGCUAAACCGAUACUGAUGGAUGGACCCGCGGGGCAUUAGCUAGUUGGUGAGGUAACGGCUCACCAAGGCCACGAUGCAUAGCCGACCUGAGAGGGUGAUCGGCCACACUGGGACUGGGACACGGCCCAGACUCCUACGGUGGGCAGCAGUAGGGAAUCUUCGGCAAUGGACGAAAGUCUGACCGAGCAACGCGGGGUGAGUGAAGAAGGUUUUCGGAUCGUAAAACUCUGUUGUUAGAGAAGGGGAAUAAAACAAGAAAGCCACGGCUAACUACGUGCCAGCGGCCGCGGUAAUG